UGAUAGGUUAGCUUUCCUUCCGUGA
rnacentral:piRNA from 1 species